rnacentral:sRNA from 1 species
UUUUGGACAAGCGAUUGAAAUGGAAAUCCUUUUUUAUCGGAAAAGGCAAAAGCGGCGGGAAAUAAAAAAGAUUGCAAUGGAAAGCGCGGUCCCGA